ACUAAUAUUUAGAAAUGAAAAGAUUUCACAUAAGAGUUGGACUUUGGCCACUUUUCUGCAAGAUCUCUCUAGGCCACUGUGGGCUCCCCACUCCAUCCCUGGCCUGGGAGCCUGCCUGUCGGGUCCAUGGCUGAGUCUUGCACCUGAGCUCCUCAUCUGCCCUCUGUACACGUUUCCCAGAAGGCGGGUGGGCAUCCUCAUGUCCCUCAUCCUCCUCUUCACCACUGCCCAAACUGUGCCCCCUGCCUUGGAACCAGGAAUCCAAGGCCUCCUUCAAGCCCCACUGGCUCCUGUGGCUUUUCCCAGUGACUUCAGCUCAGCUCCAUUCUCUGUACUCACAUAUACCUAAACCCUUAAGCUGGUGGCUGAGCACUUGCCUGUGUUUUCAUUCAUUCCUUUGCCAGGUACCCUGCAGAGCCACCCCGGUGGAGAAAAGACACCUAAAAGUCCGUGCUGGGUCAGGUUUCCUUCCUUGUUCUUCCCUCUGAGACUUUGCUGCCGCUGUGUGGUGAGUCUCGUGAGGUGCAGCAGAGUUUGGUGCAGGAGCUCCGCCAGCCUCACACCCUCAGGAACCCAUGAUGUGGCUUCAUUGGGUGAUUGGAAGGGUGAAAUGCAGGGUUAUGAAUAACCAGAAUGAUCAACACACAUAUAGCCAGGUGUGUUCUACAGACCUUCAAGGAAAUUGGCACUGAAGGUGGAGGCUGGAUGCAUUUUUGCUUCUCUCUGCCCUGCUCAGGGCCAUUUGCUAAGGCAUGCAAACCCUUCCAGAUACUCCUCGAGGAUUCUCCUGGAUUCUAGAGAGUCCCCUGCAAGGGACUGGGCAAGAAGGAGGUAAUCCAAGGUAGCCGGGGCUCUCCCAUAAAUCGGCACCCCAUGCUUCAGUGCUCUGCUGUACCACGGACAAGACCAGUUCAGGCUGUGUAAUUGGGUGGAAAGAUAAGGACUUUCAAGGCCAACUCCCUCAUAGCAGGCCUAGUCACUAAUCAGUGUGACUGUGCACAAGUUUCCUUGCUAAUAAAAUGGAAAUUGUCACUC